UCCUGAUGGCUCACAUGAAGUUUCGUGCCGUUCCGACCUCGUUUGAUACGGUUAUGGUUAACCACACGGCCCCUCGGGCCCGACCCGAGCCCAGUCAACGUUUUGACCCGAUCAAAUCGGCCCGUGACCCGAAACGACCCUACUUGGGCCCUACAACAGCCACGUAAAGUUUCGGGAUGAUCCGACGUUCUUUCAUGGGGUUACGGACAAUCCACGCCAAACAAGCGUCACGGGCCGACCGAGCUGGGCCAACGGGCCCUCGGGACCCGAAAACUGAAUUUUUUUUCAUCCAAACCCAUUAAAACACGUUACCGAGGUCUCACGCAAAAUUUCAUGCCAAUCCGACGUCGUUUGAUGGGGUUUUGAGAUAUUAUGAUUCCUCAAAAAUUUAAUGUCUGUUCCUGUCACUUAGCUUUUUGUGCAAAAUGUAUAUAUAGGGGAGGGGUGGGUGUUGAGCAGCCCAUGCCCGGGCAAGGCAUGCCAGCGCCCAAGCCAAAGGAGGCUGGUGGCGUGCGUAUAACAGCUCAAAUGCCCCAACGAUGACCGAGAACAAGCGCCCAUCUCCCCUCCUUCCCCCCCACCAAGCGCCCCUCCCCCCCCAUGUUGCCUGCCCACUCGCACAGCUACUCGUGAUUUCAUGCCCAGCGACUAGUGAAUGUGCCUCGACGACCAGCAAACCUCGAAAAUUAUGAUUCCUCGUAAAAUUAAUGUCUGUUCCUGUCACUUUACUUUUUGUGCAAAAUGUAUAUAUAGGGGAGACCAGGGGCUUGAGCAACCCCUGUGCCCAAGCAAGGGUCAGAUGGAAGCACACGAGACGCGAGGUUUAAAGCCUAUACAAGCAAGGCGUCUGUCUCCCCAAGCCCCAUUGCCUAUAAAACAAGCCCGAUGCCUUGUAAAUGCCCCACACGAUGCCUAUAAACGACAACGAUGUUUGCUAGUUAAUCGAUCGACGCCCCACACCUUGCAGCAUGUUGCCUAGUAAACAAGCCAUGCUGCCUUGGAAGCGCCCCACAUCAUGGCAUGUUGCCUAGCACGCUGCCCUUGUUUCCAGCACGGCGACCUGAAAGCGUGGCCUGACGACGUGCUUGCCUUCGAAAAUUAUGAUUCCUCAAAAAAUUAAUGUCUGUUCCUGUCACUUUACUUUUUGU
rnacentral:rRNA from 1 species